GACGAACGCUGGCGGCGUGCUUAACACAUGCAAGUCGAACGGAAAGGCCCUGCUUUUGUGGGGUGCUCGAGUGGCGAACGGGUGUGUAACACGUGAGUACUCUGCCCUUGACUUUGGGAUAACUUCAGGAAACUGGGGCUAAUACGGGAUAGGAGCUCCUGCUGCAUGGUGGGGGUUGGAAAGGUUCGGCGGUUGGGGAUGGACUCGCGGCUUAUCAGCUUGUUGGUGGGGUAGUGGCUUACCAAGGCUUUGACGGGUAGCCGGCCUGAGAGGGUGACCGGCCACAUUGGGACUGAGAGACGGCCCAGACUCCUACGGGAGGCAGCAGUGGGGAAUAUUGCACAAUGGGCGGAAGCCUGAUGCAGCAACGCCGCGUGCGGGAUGACGGCCUUCUGGUUGUAAACCGCUUUCGCCUGUGACGAAGCGUGAGUGACGGUAAUGGGUAAAGAAGCACCGGCUAACUACGUG
rnacentral:rRNA from 1 species